UCACUGAGACGAUGAGUACUGCCAGGGA
rnacentral:piRNA from 2 species